rnacentral:rRNA from 1 species
AUGGAGGAGGCCAGCAGCAGUUCAGGCCAUCCGAGGCACAGGGGUCCUCCUCCUCAUCAUGUGCUUGGCUAUGGCGGCUUCCAUGCCGCCAUGGCCAUGCCAACCAACUCCAUGCCUCCCGCAGCCUUCUUCAGCGAGCAAGACGGAGGAGGAGGCAGCGGCGGCGCCUACUUCGGGGAGCUGGAGGAGGCCCUCAUGCACCAGGUCGCCACGCUCAGCAGCAGCGGCGGCAGGAUGAUUUCGCAUUCCCAUUCCCAGCAACAAACUGCAACGGCCACCUCCACGGAUCAUCCUCAUCGCCACCACCACCACCACCAUGGACACAACCACGCCAUGCCCUUCCCCAGUACGGUGGCUGAUACUGCUACAGCGGCAGCGGCAGCAGCUAGGCCGCCUCCCACACUGGACAUCUUCCCCUCCUGGCCGCUCGCUCUCCAUCACCACCACACACCCAAGCAGGAGGGUUCAAAUGUGACAGCAGACAGCACAGACUCAGAGAGCAGCAGCAAGAACAACAUCAACAUGGACUCAUCGGAUCAUCACCAGCAGCAACAGCAACAGCAGCAAGGGAUGGUAGGAUUAGUCACCGUGGCAGGCCAGUUCCAUCAGAUUUCACAGCAGCAGCACCACCAGCACCAGCAGCAGCAGAAGAUGGCAACAAGUUCCACUCACAGUGACAGGACUGGCAAGGCGCUUGAUCCAAAGACGACGAGGAGGCUAGCGCAGAAUCGAGAGGCUGCAAGAAAAAGCAGGCUUCGGAAGAAGGCUUACAUUCAGCAGCUUGAGAGUGGCAAGCUGAAGCUUGCUCAACUGGAACAGGAUCUCCAGCGGGCUCGUUCUCAGGGACUCUUGGUUGGAGGAGCUCCAGGUGGAAACUCCAGCCCUGGUGCUGCUAUGUUCGAUGUCGAGUACAACAGGUGGCUGGACGACGACAGCAGGCGCAUGAUUGAGCUCCGGGGAGGCCUGCACGCGCACUUGCCGGAUGGUGACCUCAGGGCCAUCAUCGACGACACCUUGACCCACUACGAUGAGCUCUUUCGCCUCAAGAGUGCCGCUGCCAGGGCGGACGUCUUUCAUCUCAUCACUGGGAUGUGGGCGACCCCAGCCGAGCGCUGCUUCCUUUGGAUGGGCGGCUUCCGGCCCUCUGAUCUGCUCAAGACACUGGCACCUCAGCUUGAUCCCUUGACUGAACAGCAAAUGGUUGGCAUCUGCAGCCUUGAGCAGUCAUUGCAGCAGGCAGAAGAAGCUCUCACCCAGGGCCUGGAGCAGCUCCAUCAGUCAUUAGCAAUCACGGUGGCAGGCAGCGGGUCUCUUAGCGACGAUACCAACCUGGGGAGCUUCAUGGGCGACAUGGCCGUUGCUCUCGGCAAGCUGGCUAGCCUUGAAGGCUUUGUCAUACAGGCUGAUAACUUGAGGCAGCAGACUCUUCACCAGAUGCACAGGAUUCUGACAGUUAGGCAGGCAGCUCGAUGUUUCUUGGCUAUUGGCGAGUACCAUAACCGCCUCCGUGCCCUAAGCUCCCUCUGGGCUUCUCGCCCUCGAGAGAUACUGAUGACAGAUGAAGGCAAUUGUGGAGAGCUAAGCAUUGCAGCACAUCCAGCUGAAAGCCAAUAUUCAGCCUACUGA